rnacentral:rRNA from 1 species
CCUCGUUUGUACUUGCAUGGGAGACUGCCUGGGAAUACCAGG